rnacentral:rRNA from 1 species
UACAGAGGCCCCAAGCGUUACUGAGAAUCACUGGGUUUAAAGGGUGCGUAGGUGGCGCGUUAAGUCCGUUGUGAAAUCCCUUGGCUCAACCAAGGAAUGGCUUCGGAUACUGGCGUGCUUGAGGCUAGUAUGGGUCACUGGAACUGACGGUGGAGCGGUGAAAUGCGUAGAUAUCAGGAGGAACACCUGUGGCGAAAGCGGCUCACUGGACCAUAACUGACGCUGAUGCACGAAAGCUAGGGGAGCAAACCGG